rnacentral:rRNA from 1 species
AGUGAACGCUGGCGGUAGGCCUAACACAUGCAAGUCGAACGGCAGCACAGUAAGAGCUUGCUCUUACGGGUGGCGAGUGGCGGACGGGUGAGGAAUACAUCGGAAUCUACUUUUUCGUGGGGGAUAACGUAGGGAAACUUACGCUAAUACCGCAUACGACCUACGGGUGAAAGCAGGGGAUCUUCGGACCUUGCGCGAUUGAAUGAGCCGAUGUCGGAUUAGCUAGUUGGCGGGGUAAAGGCCCACCAAGGCGACGAUCCGUAGCUGGUCUGAGAGGAUGAUCAGCCACACUGGAACUGAGACACGGUCCAGACUCCUACGGGAGGCAGCAGUGGGGAAUAUUGGACAAUGGGCGCAAGCCUGAUCCAGCCAUACCGCGUGGGUGAAGAAGGCCUUCGGGUUGUAAGGCCCUUUUGUUGGGAAAGAAAGGCAGCAGGUUAAUACCCCGCUGUUCUGACGGUACCCAAAGAAUAAGCACCGGCUAACUUCGUG